UGGGGAAUAUUGCACAAUGGGCGAAAGCCUGAUGCAGCAACGCCGCGUGAGUGAUGAAGGCCUUCGGGUUGUAAAGCUCUGUCUUUUGGGACGAUAAUGACGGUACCAAAGGAGGAAGCCACGGCUAACUACGUGCCAGCAGCCGCGGUAAUACGUAGGUGGCAAGCGUUGUCCGGAUUUACUGGGCGUAAAGGAUGCGUAGGCGGAUUUUUAAGUGAGAUGUGAAAACCCUAAGCUUAACUUGGGGACUGCAUUUCAUACUGGAAAUCUAGAGUGCGGGAGAGGAGAAUGGAAUUCCUAGUGUAGCGGUGAAAUGCGUAGAGAUUAGGAAGAACACCAGUGGCGAAGGCGAUUCUCUGGACCGUAACUGACGCUGAGGCAUGAAAAGCGUGGGUAGCAAACAGGAUUAGAUACCCUGGUAGUCCACGCCGUAAACGAUGAGUACUAGGUGUAGGAGGUAUCGACCCCUUCUGUGCCGCAGUUAACACAAUAAGUACUCCGCCUGGGAAGUACGAUCGCAAGAUUAAAAACUC
rnacentral:rRNA from 1 species